UUUCCGUAGGUGAACCUGCGGAAGGAUCAUUUCCGAAACAAACAUCCUUACAAACCCACUGUGUGCAAGCCUUGUAAGUUUCAAGACAGUCCAUGAGACUACUUGAAAUUAUACUUUUUACCCACACAUGUGUACAUGCAUGGUGCCCUUCGGGCCACAUGUCUCUGUGUGUGUGUGUGGGUACAAGAGGCGCACUUGUAUGCGUUGCACUGCUCUCCCUUUCUUUGAGAGAAGAGUUGUAGUGUGAAUAGACUAUACUAAGUUGUGUCCUCGCCUUUUUUUUAACCAUAUACGAACCCCAAGAGCCUCUGUUAUUUGUUUUUAACAAAGAAAGGGCCCACUGUACUAUAAUAUACACAUUUAGUACAAAAGGUUGCAUAGCAGCGUUUUUGCAAAAAAAAAAUAAAUGCUCGACAACUUUUAACGGUGGAUCUCUUGGCUCGU
rnacentral:misc_RNA from 1 species